UACGGGGGGGCAAGCGUUGUUCGGAAUUACUGGGCGUAAAGGGCUCGUAGGUGGCCAACUAAGUCAGACGUGAAAUCCCUCGGCUUAACCGGGGAACUGCGUCUGAUACUGGAUGGCUUGAGUUCGGGAGAGGGAUGCGGAAUUCCAGGUGUAGCGGUGAAAUGCGUAGAUAUCUGGAGGAACACCGGUGGCGAAGGCGGCAUCCUGGACCGACACUGACGCUGAGGAGCGAAAGCCAGGGAGCAAACGGGAUUAGAGUACCCCGAGUAAGUC
rnacentral:rRNA from 1 species